GUGCAAACGAGGAAAGGCUUACGGUGAAUACCUAAGCACCUAGAGAUGAGGAAGGGUGUAAUAAGCGACAAAAUGCUUCAGGGAGUUGAAAAUAAGCGUAGAUCCGGAGAUUCCCGAAUAGGUCAACCUCGUGAAUUGCUGUUGAAUCCAUAGGCAGACAAGAGACAACCUGGCGAACUGAAACAUCUUAGUAGCUGAAAGAAAAGAAAGCAAAAGUGAUUCCUGUAGUAGCGGCGAGCGAAACGGGAGCAACCUAAAUUGUGAAAAUGGGGUUGUGGGAGAGCAAUAAAGCGUCGUGCUGCUAAGCAAAACGGUGAAAUGCCAAACCCUAGAUGGCAAUAGUCUAGUAGCCGAAAGCAUCACUAGCUUAUGCUCUGACCCGAGUAGCAUGGGGCAUGUGGAAUCUUGUGUGAAUCAACAAGGACCACCUUGCAAGGCUAAAUACUCCUAGGUGACCGAUAGCGAAGUAGUAUUGUGAGGGAAUGGUGAAAAGAACCGUUGUUGGGGAGUGAAAUAGAACAUGAAACCGUAAACUCCCAAGCAGUGGGAGGAGCCAAGGGCUCUAACCGUGUGCCUGUUGAAGAAUGAGCCGGCGACUCAUAAGCAGUAGCUUAGUUAAGGGAACUCACUGGAGCCAUAGCGAAAGUGAGUAUUCAUUGGGCAAUUGUCACUGUUUAUGGACCCAAACCUAGGUGGUCUAUCCAUGACCAGGAUGAAGCUUAGGUGAAACUAAGUGGAGGUCCGAACCGACUGGUGUUGAAGAAUCAGCGGAUGAGUUAUGGUUAGGGGUGAAAUUCUAUUCGAACCCAAAGCUAGUUAGUUCUCCUCGAAAUGCAUUGAGGCGCAACAGUUGACUAGACAUCUAGAGGUAAAGCACUGUUUCGGUGUGGGCCGCGAGAGUGGUACCAAAUCGAGGCAAACUCUGAAUACUAGAUAUGACCUCAAAAUAACAGGGUCGAGGUCGACCAGUAAGACGAUAGGGGAUAAGCUUCAUCGUCAAGAGGGAAAAAACCCAAAUUACCAACUAAGGCCCCUAAAUGACCGCUUAGUCAUAAAGGAGGUAGGGGUGUAGAGACAGCCAGAAGGUUUGCCUAGAAGCAACCAACCUUGAAAGAGUGUAUAAUAGUUCACUGAUCGAGCGCUCUUGCGCCGAAGAUGAACGGGGCUAAACGAUUUGUCGAAGCUGUAAGAUGUAAAAAUGCAUCAGUAGGAGAGUAUUUCGCCUUAGGGGAAAACACCUGCGUGAGCGGGAGUAGACGAAGCGGGAGCGAACGUAUGCUGAUUGGUAUUAAUUAAUUUACUUGUUCUU
rfam:Gossypium raimondii chromosome 11, whole genome shotgun sequence.